ACUUUUGGGAUAGCAUUGGAAAUGUAAUUGAAGAAAAUAUGUAAUAAAAAUAUUUUAAAAAAAGAUAAAUACCUAAAAGACAGCUCAUGAUCCUGAGUCAUCAGUGAUAAGCAAAUUUAUACUAAGGUAAAAUUUUAUUUCACACUCCAAGACAACAUGACCAAAGAUUAAAAGAGAUACAGAAUACGUUCUAGCACUGCUUGUCAUCUUAGGUAAAAUGGCAGUAUCAUUUUACAAAAGCAUUCUUGCAGUGCUUCUUAAGGUUAAAAAUGUUAUUUACUUCACAACCACAAUCCUCCAAAGUGCUUCUUCAGGAGAAAUGAAAACACUUCAACACUAAGAAUGAAAACUUUAUUUGUAACAGCCCCACUGUCAUGAUAAUUCUAUUGCCAAUAACAAAAGGAUAAUAAUCAAAAUGCAUACAUUAAUCAUAAUCAAUCUAAAACAUUAUUUUGCCAUAUUGUAGAGAUAAUACUAGGAUAUUCCCAUUAAGGCUUCUGUAUUACCAUGUUUAUCCCUGUUAUGAAUUACCUUUAAAACUGAGCAGCAAUAUAAUGGUUGCCACUUUUGUGACUGGUGUUAGAAGCAAAUAUGAAUGAUAAAUUUUUAUAUUCAUUAAUAAUUGCCAUUGUGCUUAGAAAUGAUAUAUCAUAUGACAUGUUAUGGUUUUUGUUUUGCUUUACUCUGAAUUUUGUUAUUUAAUUACCUAAAAGCUGAAUAAAUAACAUAUUUGCUUUUCUAUUAAAAAAAAAAGGGCAAAGCAAGAGUAAUCUUCUACAAACUUAAAUGAAUAAAGUAAUACUGUAAUAUAAAUAUAACAAUGAUAAUGUAUCAUUACUAGACACAGUUAAUAUUCAUUCUAUUGUUAACAUAUUUGAGUCUUAUAGCUCAAGUGAUCUACAAAAAGAUAACUGUUUAAAUACCUAUGACAUCAUAGUGGAUGCCAAAAAGACUACUCUGCAUUUUGAUCAGUCACAUUAGAAGAUGGGGGGAAAGAUCUUUCAGAAUUGGAUAGUAGCAUAUUACAGAAGUAGAAAUAAGGGCAUUUGACUAGAGAACGAUGUUAGUGGUAAUACUGUCCUAAGAAUUGUUCAGAAUCACUAGUAUACAUGGUUCUUCCCAAGUAUCUUAAAGACUAAAUAAUGUGCCAUCUUACACAUGACCAAAAAUAAGGCAAAGGGUUGAGAAAAUAUGAGACUUAAAUCAUUUAAUUCAUGAAAUAAAGCAUUAGACUGCAUGAAAAUUGGAAAUAUUAAUACAGGUCUAUUUUUGAGCUUACUUGUUUGGUAACCAGUACCUACAGAUACAGGACACAAAAGCACACAUCUACAUGUUUGAUGAAUAAAAUCUUCCUUUUUAAGAAUUAAACACCUUACCUAAUCACAACAGAUUCCCUCGUAUAGCCACCGUCAUACUCUGUAGUUUCUUCUAGUGCCUGGAAAUCUAGAUUCUGAAAAUUAUAGGGGGAAAAAAAAGCACCUUAACAUCCAUAGUACACCAAAACAAAAAACAAAACAAAACACCC
rnacentral:lncRNA from 1 species